rnacentral:lncRNA from 1 species
CCCUACUGCUGAUAACUUUGUGUGUGCGUGUGUGUGUGUGUGUGUGUGUGUGUGUGUGUGUGUGUGUGUGUGUGUGUGUGUGUGUGUGUAAAAUACAGCUCCAUCCAGCAGAAGAGAUCACACUCUCCCGUACCGAGCUGUGUGUCCAUGAAGAGUAACCAGUCCAUGGAACUUCCACUUCACUUUGCAGAAGGAGGUGUUCCUGCUGGUCAGAGCUCCAUCCAGCAGAAGAGAUCACACUCUCCCGUACCGAGCUGUGUGUCCAUGAAGAGUGACCAGUCCAUGGAACUUCCACUUCAUUUUGCAGAAGGAGGUGUUCCUGCUGGUCAGAGGUGAGUAGUAAUGAGGACUUUCCACAGGAAAUACAAUCAUCCAUACAGUCAUUUGAAGUACACCUGAAGUAUAAAAGUGGACCAAAGGUAGGUAUGGGUAUUGUUUGGGUUUUUUCCCAUACUGGUGCUAAACCGAUACUUUUAAAACGAUACCGGUGCCUAAACGGUGCCUGAACCGAUACUUUUUUUUUUUUAAAGCACAAAGCGACGAUUGACGACAUUAAAAAAAGGCUUUUUUUAUUGCCAAUUGAACAAUAUAUUAACUGUUUAAAGUAUAUUAUAAAUAUAAAUACAUACAAAACACUUGGCUUCCAACUACAGCUUCAAACUUUUUAACUUCAAACUAUGAACAUUAUAUUAACUGUAAACAACAGUUUAUAGUAUACUUAAAUACAUAUAAAUAAAUACAAAAAACAGCUUCA